rnacentral:rRNA from 1 species
GACGAACGCUGGCGGCGUGCUUAACACAUGCAAGUCGAACGGGCCUGUCUUCUUUUUUGGGGGGUGGGUUGAGUGGCGAACGGGUGAGCAUCACGUGAGUAACCUGCCCUUCGGUCCUGGAUAACCGCUUGAAAGGGCGGCUAAUACGGGGUGGUCCGGUUGGUCCGCAUGGGCUGGUCGGGAUAGAUUCACUGUUUUUGGUGUUUCGGCGGGGGAUGGGCUCGCGGCCUAUCAGCUUGUUGGUGGGGUGAUGGCCUACCAAGGCGGUGACGGGUAGCCGGCCUGGGAGGGUGGGCGGCCACACUGGGACUGAGAUACGGCCCAGACUCCUGCGGGAGGCAGCAGUGGGGGGUAUUGCACAAUGGGCGGAAGCCUGAUGCAGCGACGUCGCGUGAGGGAUGGAGGCCUUCGGGUUGUGAACCUCUGUUUCCGGUGGUGAAGGCCCUGUCCGUGUGGUGGGGUUGACGGUAGCCGGGGAUGAAGCGCCGGCUAACUACGG